ensembl:ncRNA F26A10.21 ncRNA
UGGAAUGGGGGCAUGCAAAAUGGGGAAGGCGUGGGGCGGCUAAGUGUCUGUGUUAUUUGUCGACGUUAGGGGCGACAAAAAGCGACACCACUCAUAAAUCUCGGUCCAUCCGGACAUCGUGGUGGUGGUGGUAGCUUCUUCGUCUUCCUUGUCGUCCUUCUCACUUGGUCCCUCCUUAGCCGCUUCUUCAUUUUCUUUUGUCCAGUUCUUAU